rnacentral:rRNA from 1 species
GGGCCCGCACAAGCGGAGGAGCAUGUGGUUUAAUUCGAUGAUACGCGAGGAACCUUACCUAGACUUGAACGGAAGAGGAAUAAUUCAGAGAUGGAUUAGCCAGCAAUGGUCUUUUUCGAGGUGCUGCAUGGUUGUCGUCAGCUCGUGCCGUGAGGUGUCAGGUUAAGUCCUAUAACGAGCGCAACCCUUACACUUAGUUGCCAGCAUAUAAGGUGGGGACUCUAAGUGGACUGCCGGCGCAAGCCGCGAGGAAGGUGGGGAUGACGUCAAAUCAGCACGGCCCUUACGUCUAGGGCGACACACGUGCUACAAUGGUCGAUACAGAGGGCAGCUACCGGGUGACCGGAUGCGAAUCUCAAAAAGUCGAUCUCAGUUCGGGAUCGGAGUCUGCAACUCGACUCCGUGAAGUUGGAUUCGCUAGUAAUCGCAUAUCAGCCAUGAUG